rnacentral:rRNA from 1 species
AUGCCAACAAAUUCCUGCAAAUUCUCCAUCACUGACCCUAGCCAUGCAAGAUGCAGCAACGACACAAACGCCCAUGGCUUCAGGUGCAUCAUCACCUUGACUAUUUACAAUGCACUUCUCGAAAGUGAUACACUAUCUAAUUUUCAUCUUCAUGCUCAUUUACCAUGUAUUGACUUUGCAUCCGAUGCCAUGGCAGGAAAUCCACCACUUUGGGAUUCAAGUCCAGCAACAGCUAUGUGCAAUUCAAGUCACCAUGAUGACCUGCUUGCAGAAGGUAACACUUUAAACCCAUCUAUGAUCUGCCAAAUAAAAAUAAAUCCAUUGUACCAACAGCAACAAAACUAA